CUGCCGGUGACAAACCGGAGGAAGGUGGGGAUGACGUCAAGUCAUCAUGGCCCUUACGGCCUGGGCUACACACGUGCUACCAAUGGUCGGUACAAAGGGUUGCCAAGCCGCGAGGUGGAGCUAAUCCCAUAAAACCGAUCGUAGUCCGGAUCGCAGUCUGCAACUCGACUGCGUGAAGUCGGAAUCGCUAGUAAUCGUGAAUCAGAAUGUCACGGUGAAUACGUUCCCGGGCCUU
rnacentral:rRNA from 1 species